rnacentral:rRNA from 1 species
GUGAACGCUGGCGGUAGGCCUAACACAUGCAAGUCGAACGGCAGCACAGUAAGAGCUUGCUCUUACGGGUGGCGAGUGGCGGACGGGUGAGGAAUACAUCGGAAUCUACUUUUUCGUGGGGGAUAACGUAGGGAAACUUACGCUAAUACCGCAUACGACCUACGGGUGAAAGCAGGGGAUCUUCGGACCUUGCGCGAUUGAAUGAGCCGAUGUCGGAUUAGCUAGUUGGCGGGGUAAAGGCCCACCAAGGCGACGAUCCGUAGCUGGUCUGAGAGGAUGAUCAGCCACACUGGAACUGAGACACGGUCCAGACUCCUACGGGAGGCAGCAGUGGGGAAUAUUGGACAAAGGGCGCAAGCCUGAUCCAGCCAUACCGCGUGGGUGAAGAAGGCCUUCGGGUUGUAAAGCCCUUUUGUUGGGAAAGAAAAGCGGCAGGUUAAUACCCCGCUGUUCUGACGGUACCCAAAGAAUAAGCACCGGCUAACUUCGUG